CAAUAGCGUAUAUUAAAGUUGUUGCAGUUAAAAAGCUCGUAGUUGGAUUUGUGGUGUACUUCGGCGGCCCGUCACUAUGUGAUGGAGCUUGCUGAAGUCGCCAUCCUUGGGUGGAUCCUGUGUGGCAUUAGGUUGUCGUGCAGGGGAUGCCCAUCGUUUACUGUGAAAAAAUUAGAGUGUUCAAAGCAGGCUUAUGCCGUUGAAUAUAUUAGCAUGGAAUAAUAAGAUAGGACCUUGGUACUAUUUUGUUGGUUUGCGCACCAAGGUAAUGAUUAAUAGGGACAGUUGGGGGUAUUCGUAUUUCAUUGUCAGAGGUGAAAUUCUUGGAUUUCUGAAAGACGAACUACUGCGAAAGCAUUUACCAAGGAUGUUUUCAUUAA
rnacentral:rRNA from 1 species